rnacentral:rRNA from 1 species
CCAUUCGCCAGGGUACAACGAGCCCCAGCUUAAAACCCAAAGGACUUGGCGGUGCUUUAGACCCCCCUAGAGGAGCCUGUUCUAGAAUCGAUUUUCCCCGUUCAACCUCACCCCCUCUUGUUCUUCCCGCCUGUAUACCGCCGUCGUCAGCUUACCCUGUGAAGGUAAAGUAGUAAGCACAAUUGGCACAGCCCAAAAAGUCAGGUCAAGGUGUAGCGUAUGAGGGGGAAAGAAAUGGGCUACAUUUGCUGACCCAGCAAAUACGGAUGUUGCAUGAAA